rnacentral:rRNA from 1 species
GACGAACGCUGGCGGCGUGCUUAACACAUGCAAGUCGAACGGAAAGGCCCUGCUUUUGUGGGGUGCUCGAGUGGCGAACGGGUGAGUAACACGUGAGUAACCUGCCCUUGACUUUGGGAUAACUUCAGGAAACUGGGGCUAAUACCGGAUAGGAGCUCCUGCUGCAUGGUGGGGGUUGGAAAGUUUCGGCGGUUGGGGAUGGACUCGCGGCUUAUCAGCUUGUUGGUGGGGUAGUGGCUUACCAAGGCUUUGACGGGUAGCCGGCCUGAGAGGGUGAACGGCCACAUUGGGACUGAGAUACGGCCCAGACUCCUACGGGAGGCAGCAGUGGGGAAUAUUGCACAAUGGGCGGAAGCCUGAUGCAGCAACGCCGCGUGCGGGAUGACGGCCUUCGGGUUAUAAACCGCUUUCGCCUGUGACGAAGCGUGAGUGACGGUAAUGGGUAAAGAAGCACCGGCUAACUACGUG